rnacentral:rRNA from 1 species
GACGAACGCUGGCGGCGCGCUUAACACAUGCAAGUCGAGCGAGAACCAGUCCUUCGGGACUGGGGAAAGCGGCGAACGGGUGAGUAACACGUGGGUAAUCUGCCCUCGGCACUGGGAUAGCCCGGGGAAACCCGGAUUAAUACCGGAUAGCCUUUCGAGCCUUCGGGCUCGUCAGAAAAGGUGGCUUCGGCUUCCGGCUGAGGAUGAGCCCGCGGCGGAUUAGCUUGUUGGUGGGGUAAUGGCCUACCAAGGCGACGAUCCGUAGCUGGUCUGAGGGGACGAUCAGCCACACUGGGGCUGAGACACGGCCCAGACCCCUACGGGAGGCAGCAGUGGGGAAUCUUGCGCAAUGGGCGAAAGCCUGACGCAGCGACGCCGCGUGCGGGAAGAAGGCCUUCGGGUUGUAAACCGCUUUCAGGAGGGACGAAGCCACUCGGGUUAAUAGCCCAGAGGGUGACGGUACCUCCAGAAGAAGCCCCGGCUAACUACGUGCCAGCCGCCGCCGUAACAC